rnacentral:rRNA from 1 species
UGGGGAUAUUGCACAAUGGGGGGAACCCUGAUGCAGCGACGCCGCGUGGGUGAAGAAGCGCCUCGGCGCGUAAAGCCCUGUCAGCAGGGAAGAAAUGACGGUACCUGAAGAAGAAGCCCCGGCUAACUACGUGCC